rnacentral:rRNA from 1 species
GCCCGCUCAAGAACUCAAAGGAAUUGACGGGGCCCGCACAAGCGGAGGAGCAUGUGGUUUAAUUCGAUGAUACGCGAGGAACCUUACCUGGGCUCGAACGUAAGAUGACUGUAGGUGAAAAGCUUACAUCUCUUCGGAGCAUUUUACGAGGUGCUGCAUGGUUGUCGUCAGCUCGUGCCGUGAGGUGUCGGGUUAAGUCCCAUAACGAGCGCAACCCCUACCUUUAGUUGCCAUCAGGUUAAGCUGGGGACUCUAAAGGAACUGCCUACGCAAGUAGUGAGGAAGGCGGGGAUGACGUCAAAUCAGCACGGCCCUUACGUCCAGGGCUACACACGUGCUACAAUGGCCGAUACAGAGGGCAGCUACCUGGUGACAGGAUGCAAAUCUCCAAAGUCGGUCUCAGUUCGGAUCGGAGUCUGCAACCCGACUCCGUGAAGUUGGAUUCGCUAGUAAUCGCGCAUCAGCCAUGGCGCGGUGAAUACGUUCCCGGGCCUU